CCUACGGGAGGCAGCAGUGAGGAAUAUUGGUCAAUGGCCGAGAGGCUGAACCAGCCAAGUCGCGUGAGGGAAGAAUGUCCUAUGGGUUGUAAACCUCUUUUGUCAGGGAGCAAAGUCACCCACGUGUGGUUUUUGUAUAGUACCUUAAGAAAAAGCAUCGGCUAACUCCGUCCCCGCAGCCGCGGUACUACGGAGGAUGCGAGCGUUAUCCGGAUUUAUUGGGUUUAACGGGUGCGUAGGCGGGUUAUCAAGUCAGCGGUAAAAGUGUGGAGCUAAACUCCAUACAGCCGUUGAAACUGAUGAUCUUGAGUGGGCGAGAAGUAUGCGGAAUGCGUGGUGUAGCGGUGAAAUGCAUAGAUAUCACGCAGAACUCCGAUUGCGAAGGCAGCAUACCGGCGCCCGACUGACGCUGAAGCACGAAAGUGUGGGUAUCGAACAGGAUUAGAUACCCGGGUAGUC
rnacentral:rRNA from 1 species